rnacentral:rRNA from 1 species
GCCUUCGGGUCACCGGCGUCAUGCUCAGUAACACGUCGAUAAUCUGCCCUAUGGUCAGGGAUAGCCUUGGGAAACUGAGGGUAAUACCUGAUAUGAGAAUAUGCCUGGAAUGGUUUUUCUUUGAAAGAUAACGCCAUAGGAUGAGUCGGCGGCGGAUUAGGUUGUUGGUGGGGUAAAGGCCCACCAAGCCGAAGAGCCGUAGGGGCCUUGAGAGAGGGAGCCCCGAGAAGGACACUGAAACACGGGUCCUAGCCCUACGGGGUGCAGCAGGCGCGGAACCUCUACAAUGCAGGAAACUGUGAUAGGGGGAUCCCAAGUGCUUACGCUUUGCGUAAGCUUUUGCCAAGGGUAAAAACCUUGGAGAAUAAGUGGUGGGAAAGACUGGUGCCAGCAGCCGCGGUAACCCCAGCGCCACAAGUGGCAAUCGCAUUUAUUGGGCCUAAAGCGUCCGUAGCCGGUCAAGUAAAUCUUUUGUGAAAUCGUACAGCCAAACUGAACGGCGUGCAGAAGAGACUGCUUGACUUGAAACCGGGAGGAGUCAGAAGUAUGCUGGGGGGAGCGGUAAAAUGUUAUAAUCCCCGGAGGACCACCUGUGGCGAAGGCGUCUAACUAGAACGGAUUCGACGGUGAGGGACGAAGGCCAGGGGAGCGAACCGGAUUAGAUACCCGAGUAGUCCUGGCAGUAAACUCUGCGAGCUAGGUGUUGCACAUUCUCCGUGAGUGUGCAGUGUCGAAGCGAAAGUGAUAAGCUCGCCGCCUGGGAAGUAUGGUCGCAAGACUGAAACUUAAAGGAAUUGGCGGGGGAGCACUACAAGGGGUGCGGCGUGCGGUUUAAUCUAAUUCAACGCAGAAAAUCUCACCAGCAGCGACGGCAGAAUGAAAGUCAGUCUAAAGGGCUUACUUGACGAGCCGAGAGGUAGUGCAUGGCCGCCGUCAGCUCGUGCCGUAAGGUGUCCAGCUAAGUCUGGUAACGAGCGAGACCUGUGCCUACAAUUGCUAGCGACGCUUUUGCGGAUUGAGCACAUUGUGAGGACUGCCCUGGGAACAGGGAGGAAGGUGCAGGCAACGGUAGGUCUGUAUGCUCCGAAUCUCCUGGGCAACACGCGCGCAACAAUGGUAGGGACAACGGGAUGCGACUCCGAAAGGAGGAGCUAAACCUCUAAACCCUAUCUUAGUCCAGAUCGAGGGUUGCAACUCACCCUCGUGACGCUGGAA